rnacentral:rRNA from 1 species
UACGUAGGGUGCAAGCGUUGUCCGGAAUUAUUGGGCGUAAAGAGCUCGUAGGCGGUUUGUCGCGUCGAAUGUGAAAACCCGGGGCUCAACCCCGGGCCUGCAUUCGAUACGGGCAGACUAGAGUUCGGUAGGGGAGUCUGGAAUUCCUGGUGUAGCGGUGAAAUGCGCAGAUAUCAGGAGGAACACCGGUGGCGAAGGCGGGUCUCUGGGCCGUAACUGACGCUGAGGAGCGAAAGCAUGGGGAGCGAACAGG